UACGAAGGGGGCUAGCGUUGUUCGGAAUUACUGGGCGUAAAGCGCACGUAGGCGGCUUUGCAAGUUAGAGGUGAAAGCCUGUGGCUCAACCACAGAAUUGCCUUCGAUACUGGACGGCUCGAGACCGGAAGAGGUCAGUGGAACUGCGAGUGUAGAGGUGAAAUUCGUAGAUAUUCGCAAGAACACCAGUGGCGAAGGCGGCUCACUGGCCCGGUACUGACGCUGAGGUGCGAAAGCGUGGGGAGCGAACAGG
rnacentral:rRNA from 1 species